GACGAACGCUGGCGGCGUGCUUAACACAUGCAAGUCGAACGGUAAGGCCCCUUCGGGGGUGCGCGAGUGGCGAACGGGUGAGUAACACGUGAGCAACCUGCCCUUGACUUUGGUAUGCCAGACGUAAACAGCUGCUAAUACCGGAUAGAUCCUCUUCUCUCAUGGGUUGUGGGGGAAAGCUCCGGCGGUCAGGGAUGGGCUCGCGGCCUAUCAGCUUGUUGGUUGGGUAAUGGCUCACCAAGGCUUCGACGGGUAGCCGGCCUGAGAGGGCGACCGGCCACACUGGGACUGAGAUACGGCCCAGACUCCUACGGGAGGCAGCAGUGGGGAAUAUUGCACAAUGGGCGCAAGCCUGAUGCAGCAACGCCGCGUGCGGGAUGACGGCCUUCGGGUUGUAAACCGCUUUCAGUAGGGACGAAGCUAACGUGACGGUACCUACAGAAGAAGGACCGGCUAACUACGUG
rnacentral:rRNA from 1 species